UACAGUAUUACUAUUACUUUAUAUUGCGCCAGCAGCCAUAUCACCCUGCAGCUAAGCAGGUGUGAGCCUGGUCAGUAUCUGGAUGGGAGACCUCCUGGGGAAAACUAAGGUUACUACUGAAA
rnacentral:rRNA from 1 species